rnacentral:rRNA from 1 species
GACGAACGCUGGCGGCGUGCCUAAUACAUGCAAGUAGAACGCACAGUUUAUACCGUAGCUUGCUACACCAUAGACUGUGAGUUGCGAACGGGUGAGUAACGCGUAGGUAACCUGCCUGGUAGCGGGGGAUAACUAUUGGAAACGAUAGCUAAUACCGCAUAAUAUUAAUUAUUGCAUGAUAAUUAAUUGAAAGGUGCAAUUGCACCACUACCAGAUGGACCUGCGUUGUAUUAGCUAGUAGGUGAGGUAACGGCUCACCUAGGCGACGAUACAUAGCCGACCUGAGAGGGUGAUCGGCCACACUGGGACUGAGACACGGCCCAGACUCCUACGGGAGGCAGCAGUAGGGAAUCUUCGGCAAUGGACGAAAGUCUGACCGAGCAACGCCGCGUGAGUGAAGAAGGUUUUCGGAUCGUAAAGCUCUGUGUAAGAGAAGAAC